rnacentral:rRNA from 1 species
AUGGACAACCCGCUGAACCUCCCUCCUGGUUCGGUGCAGCCAAACUUCGGCUCGGCCUUCUACGCCCGCAAGCCAGGAAGUGCUGCAACAGCGGUAUCGCUCUCCCAGGCGCUGCCACUGUGGCCUCCAGUGCCAUGGCCUACACUAAUGGUUAGGAAGCACCACAUGCCAUUUCCUGCUCAACCCGCAGCUAAGAAGCUGCAGGUGCGGCGUUCGCCUGUGCUGUCACAAGAUUUACCAUUGCGGGAGGCAUUGCAAGUUGCAGAGCUGCCACCACCAAGGGUACAACUGCGCCCAUUGCAACAGGCACCCCCAGUUCUGAAACAAUCGUUGCCCAAGACGGAGGUGCCGGUGGUGCUGCCAAUGCGUGCAACCUCUGUAGACGUGAGAUGGAAUGCUCGAUAUCCGUGGAGUGAAACAUCAUGCGAAUCCACAGACAGGACAUCAAGGAGGAAACAAUGCAAGUGCAAGAACUCGAAAUGUCUGAAAAAGUAUUGUGAGUGUUUUGCAUCAGGUAGAUACUGCAAUGAUUGCAACUGCAAAAACUGUUAUAAUAAUGUUGGUCAUGAGGCUGCAAGACAGGAUGCUAUCGAUGCUGCAAUGGAAAGGAAUCCUAUGGCCUUUAUGCCCAAAAUUGGGAACAUCCCUCCACAUGCAGCCCAGAACUGCGAGUUUAAAGUAGCAGAAGGCCCUCUUGUGGGUAAGCACACGAAGGGGUGCCACUGCAAGAGAUCCGAGUGCCUGAAGAAAUACUGUGAGUGCUUUCGAUCUAAUAUUCUUUGUUCAGAGAACUGCAAAUGUAUGGAUUGCAAGAACUAUGAGAGCAAUGAAGAUAGGAAAGCAAUACGACGUAUCACCCGGCACCAGCAGCACCUUGUCUAUGCACAUCAUAUGCAGAAUCCUGCUAUAAUGGGUAUUACUGGACCAUAUGCGGCUCUUUCUCCUGCAGCAGAAAAGCUCUCCAAUCUCUCAGUGGCUUCUUCAGGCAGAGAUCAGCUCAUCAGCAACAAUGAUUCUUCACAAGUGACUUCGUCUUUGCUCACUCCUGUACCUAUAGAAGGCACUAAAAGUGCCGUCAAAGUAGAACCGCAUGGAGUUACUUACAGGCCACUUUUAGCUGAUGUUAUCCAGAUAGAGAAUGUCAAUGAGCUCUGUAAAGUAUUGCUUCUAGUAUCAAGGCAAGCUGCUGGAGCAUCCGUAGGUGUUAAGGAGAACAUAAAUAGAAGAAAAAUAGAUCGAGCUGAUAGUUGCCUUUCUUCCAUAAACCAUGACACGGAAGCAGUUGAGAAACAGCGCGAUGAACAAGUCUGCUUAACAGAAAACAGUUUAACCGCAGUUCCUGUUUCUGAAGUAAGGGCAGGAACGCCAAGAUACGACCCUACUAAUACAUGUAAGUAUGACAGAAGACCGGUGUCCCCUGAAACCCAGGAACUGAUGUGUAACGAGCAAGAUCGGCUUUUCCUGACACCAAGCGUUGCAGCUGUAAUUCCCUCGGCCACCAAACAGAGAUUGCCAGACACUUACAAAGAGCAAGAGAAGCGUAUUCUGAAAACCUUGCAUGACUAUCUUGGUGAGCUUGUCAACUGCGGAAGGCUUCAUGAAGAGAAGCUCUCUUUGAUGUCAUCGAAGUUCUUGCACGAGCGAACUUCUGUCGGUAGCAGCUGCGGUUCGUCGUCCAUAUCGAGGGUCACAGAGGUUGCUAGGGUUGGACAAACAAUCCGACAGUCGCUCCAUUCUCCAGCAAGUGUCAAGUCACCAGGUCUGUAG